rnacentral:rRNA from 1 species
UACGAAGGGGGCUAGCGUUGUUCGGAAUUACUGGGCGUAAAGCGAGCGUAGGUCGCUUAGCAAGUCAGUGGUGAAAGCCCAGGGCUCAACCUUGGAACUGCCUUUGAUACUGUUUGGCUUGAGACCGGUAGAGGUAAGUGGAACUGCGAGUGUAGAGGUGAAAUUCGUAGAUAUUCGCAAGAACACCAGUGGCGAAGGCGGCUUACUGGACCGGUUCUGACGCUGAGGCGCGAAAGCGUGGGGAGCAAACAGG